CUUAGACUGAUGCUGACAGAAUGUGUGUUUAUAAAAAGCCAUACACAAGGCCUGAAGGAUAAUGAAGAAAAAGCUUUUGGGGAAGGAGCCAGCCAAGGCAGAGUUUAAGAGGACAGCAUUCCACACAGAGUGAAGAUCUGACAUUCAGACUGUGAGACUGAAAGGGCCAGCCAUUUCCAAGAGACAGAAGAAGGAAAGUGGGUCUGAAAUCUCACAACCAAGGUGAAGGGAUCAAGCUGCUUCAGGAAGACUAGAAGGGGAUAAAAAGUGAAAGCAGAAAGAACAGUCCUGAGACUGUCACAUUAUCUGAGACAUGACUUAUGUGAAGAUA